rnacentral:rRNA from 1 species
UCGGGAAUUUUGGGCAAUGGGCGAAAGCCUGACCCAGCAACGCCGCGUGAAGGAUGAAGUAUUUCGGUAUGUAAACUUCGUAAGAAUAGGAAGAAUAAAUGACGGUACUAUUUGUAAGGUCCGGCUAACUACGUGCCAGCAGCCGCGGUAAUACGUAGGGACCAAGCGUUGUCCGGAUUUACUGGGCGUAAAGGGCGCGUAGGCGGUUUGUCAAGUCAGUUGUGAAAUCUCCGAGCUUAACUCGGAACGGUCAACUGAUACUGUCAAACUAGAGUACAGAAGGGGCAAUCGGAAUUCUUGGUGUAGCGGUGAAAUGCGUAGAUAUCAAGAGGAACACCUGAGGCGAAGGCGGGUUGCUGGGCUGAUACUGACGCUGAAGCGCGAAAGCUAGGGUAGCAAACGGGAUUAGAUACCCCCGUAGUCCCUGAGCGGGCUGGCAAGGCGCAU